rnacentral:rRNA from 1 species
CCUACGGGAGGCAGCAGUGGGGAAUAUUGCACAAUGGGGGAAACCCUGAUGCAGCGACGCCGCGUGCGUGAAGAAGGAAUUCGUUAUGUAAAGCUCUAUCAGCAGGGAAGAAAAUGACGGUACCUGAGUAAGAAGCCCCGGCUAACUAUGUUCCAGCAGCCGCGGCACUACGGAGGGGGCAAGCGUUAUCCUGAGUUACUGUGUGUAAAGGGAGCGGAGAGGGCUGUGCAGGUCUGGAGUGAAAGGCGGGGGCUCAACCCCCGGACUGCUCUUGAAACUGUACGGCUGGAGUGCAGUAGAGGUAAGUGGAAUUCCUAGUGUAGCGGUGAAAUGCGUAGAUAUUAGGAGGAACCCCAGUGGCGAAGGCGGCUUACUGGACUGUAACUGACGUUGAGGCUCGAAAGCGUGGGGAGCAAACAGGAUUAGAUACCCGAGUAGUC